rnacentral:lncRNA from 10 species
CUGACUCUGACAGCCAAGUACAGAAAGCUUGAAAAGAUCGCCUUAAUUCUAUCAGAGCAUGCAUUUUGUGGAUACUCAUCCUUGGAACUCAAAUUCGCACACACGGAGAGACUCCCGCACAGAGAAGAAAUGAGCACCCUAACUGACAGCCAGCGUGGACCAUCCAUCAGCAAUGUGACUGAGGGAGUGAGCCUUCAGAUGACUCUUCCAGCACCCAGUCUCCCAGUUUUCCUGCUAAGGCUUCAGACAUCAUGCAGUAGAGAGAAAAAGCCAUUCGUGCUCUGCCCUGUAUAAUUUCGGACCGAGACUAUAAGUGGUUGUCUUAGACCACAUGUUUUAGGGUAAUUUACUAUGCAGCCAUAGUGACUGGAACAUACUUCCAAGUAAAUCUAGCAGAAAAUACAAUAAUAUUUUUGUUUAUUUUCUACUCAUAUGUAAGAGAUGAGCCUUUUCUCUCAUAAAGAAAUAGUUUCUAUAAUGUUAUGGUAGAGGAAAGGGGCAAGAUAAUCCAAACACACUGAAGGGAGCUCUAAGUACAGGGAAGAACAUAUACAUAUUAUAGCCACAGGUUUUUUUUUUUCUUCAAACUCAUCUAUUAUUUUGAGUAUGAUAAUACUAUGUCUGUGUAUGACAGAAAAAUUUAAACUUUGUCAUCCUCUGGGAGAAUGUUCAGGUAAAUUGAAGGUAUUUCGGAAAUUCAGACUAACAAAUGCGUGGCUAAUUAUAGGCAUACAUUUCAAGGGAAAGAUUUUCAGGUAAAUACAAAUUUGUUUUAUUUUAUUUUAUUAAAUUAUCCCUUGAUUAUUAACAAUUUGUUGUUUGUGUAAAUAAAAAUAGUUACUGUACAAUUUGAAGGUUAGCCUUUUUUCGUGGUAUUAUCUUUCAUACAGAUCCCUGGAGGGUGUUUACUCCGAGGAAAUGUUGAUCUCUUAAAGAUCUGCCACAGAAUUCUUCUAGCCUACUUUCUGAUCAGCUCCCUUUGUAUUAUGAGUCUAUGAAAUGAUAAAUCACAAUUAUUUCCUGGUCGAUUUCUUCUGGAUAACAGUCCUCUUAGCUCCCUUCUCAUUCCCAGUAAUUAGUGAGCUCUCUUUUCUUUUACUGUUGAUGUCACUAGUAUUCAACUGACAUCUGUCAAAACUUUUGGUAUUCUUUACUGAGUUAUUAUUGAAAUGCUUUUAAAAUGGAUGAAUACAACAAUCAUGAAGUUGUCAAUUUUAUAAUUAAUUUUUGAAUGAGCUUGUGAGAAUGAUUGUGGCUUUAUAGUAUCAGGUGUGAAAGCAUUCAAAAUUAGUCAAAAGAUUUUUUUCCUUUAUCUCUUAAAUACAAUUAUGAAUUUUAAAAAACAGAACAAAAACAGCAUAAUGAUCUAGAUAUUAUUAUUUUAAUUGCUACAUGGUGGAAAAAAACUUCCUUUAUACAUUUUUCAAGAUGUGUAUCUAUUUUCUAGUAUGUUUUACUUUACCAAAUCCUGUUUUAAAUAAAGUGAAAUUAGUGCUUAAGAGACUGCAAAUUUGAAUUAAUUAUAAAAUCAUAAAUCAGAUGUUAAUUUUGUUAAUUCCAAACAUAUUUAAAUAUAAUGAUAUUAACAAUAAAAAAUAUAACAACAUAUUUAUUGAGCACUUACUAUAUGUCAGACACUGAUAGGUACUGUUCAAGAGUUAGUUUAUCAGAUUCAGGUAUUAAUGCAUUUACUCUACACAAUUACUUUGGAUAGAUACUUUAAAUUUCCUUUUGUUUUACAGAUGAGGAAAAAGACUUACAGGGACUAUCUAUGUAUAGAAAUGCAUUCGUUUUCAAUGUGUGUCUAUGUGUGCUCUUUGUAAGUAUACAUGCAUACACAAAUACAGACACACACACACAAAUUAAUAUAGCUGUAUCAAGUUUUCUGAAGGAAAGACACAACAUAUUUAACUAGCAUAUUUUCUUCUUUGUUUUUACAGUGGCUAUAAUCCAGUUUGUGUCUAAUAAUUGUCUUCCCUGAAAUGCCCAUUUUUCUCCAGAAAUGGCCUUUGAGUGGAAUGUUCUAGCUAAGGGGCUCUCUGUUGUAACGGUUCCCGCAGCCAUCAGUACAUUAGCUCCAACUGCUGCUGUAGCCAUUGCCAUUUACAUUUCUCCCAGGAGAAUUCAGAUGAAAAAAGGAAACUGUUAGUGCUAAGUGUGUGCCAGGUUUGGAUAUAAUCUCUAAACACAUUCUAGCUGAGCCUAGAAUGAGAAUAUUUUCUUUUAUUUUUCAAUGGGCAAAAAUACUAUGUUAUAGAGUACAAAAUGUGAGUGCAUUACAAUAAAAACAGUAGUACAGUAAAAAUAGACACUCUUAUGAGGACAGAAAAGAUUUUAUUUGGAACAAUAGCUUUAAAAGCAGACUCCUGCUUCUCUAAGUUUAAGUAUUGGGAAGCCAAGGGGACAAAAUUCCAAUUUAGUGACUGAACCCUCACUUUUUCCAGAUUGUUCUUCCCUUAAAACAGGUAACAACAGUGAUUGUAAUUUCAACUAAGGAGUUUGGCACUAAUUCAAAAUGAGGAUUUUAAUAAACUUCACUGUUAUCCUAACAUCUCCUCUCUUCUCCUAAAACCAUAUAUGUGAAGGUAUGUGUACAUUCACCUACAUAUUUCUUUGCCUAUUUUUUCUUUUAACGUUUUAUUCUUCUACACUUCAGUUUUGCUGAAAGUUAUGUUCUAAGUCAUAAGAGGGGGGUUUCAUGUAAAUCUGUAGCCGAGAAGACUGGGAAUCAUGAAAGUCUUUGGAAAUUAAACCCUUUAUCUUCAAAAUGUGGUGUUAUUGCUUCUGAAUGGG